GAUGAACGCUGGCGGCGUGCCUAAUACAUGCAAGUCGAGCGAACGGACGCUAAGCUUGCUUUUCUGAUGUUAGCGGCGCACGUGUGAGUAACACGUGUAUCACCUACCUAUCUGACUGGUAUCACUUCGGGACACCGGCGCUUACACCGUAUAAUCUUUUGCACCGCAUGGUUCAAUAGUGAAAUACGGUCUUGCUGUCACUUCUAGCUGCUUCCGCGCUGCAUUAUCUAGUUGGUAAGGUAACGGCUUACCAAGGCAACGAUGCAUAGACGACGUGAGAGGGUGAUAGGCGACACGAGAGCGGAGACACGGACAAGGGGACUACGGGAGGGCGCAGUAGGGAAUCGGACGCAAUGGGCGAGAGCAUGACGGAGCAACGCGGCGUGAGUGAUGAAGGUCUUCGGAGCGUAAAACUCUGUUAUUAGGGAAGAACAGAUGUGGAAGUAACUGUACAGAGAGUGACGGUAACUAAUAAGAAAGCAACGGCUAACUACGUG
rnacentral:rRNA from 1 species